rnacentral:rRNA from 1 species
AGUGAACGCUGGCGGUAGGCCUAACACAUGCAAGUCGAACGGCAGCACAGUAAGAGCUUGCUCUUACGGGUGGCGAGUGCGGACGGGUGAGGAAUACAUCGGAAUCUACUUUUUCGUGGGGGAUAACGUAGGGAAACUUACGCUAAUACCGCAUACGACCUACGGGUGAAAGCAGGGGAUCUUCGGACCUUGCGCGAUUGAAUGAGCCGAUGUCGGAUUAGCUAGUUGGCGGGGUAAAGGCCCACCAAGGCGACGAUCCGUGGCUGGUCUGAGAGGAUGAUCAGCCACACUGGAACUGAGACACGGUCCAGACUCCUACGGGAGGCAGCAGUGGGGAAUAUUGGACAAUGGGCGCAAGCCUGAUCCAGCCAUACCGCGUGGGUGAAGAAGGCCUUCGGGUUGUAAAGCCCUUUUGUUGGGAAAGAAAAGCAGCAGGUUAAUACCCCGCUGUUCUGACGGUACCCAAAGAAUAAGCACCGGCUAACUUCGUG